rnacentral:rRNA from 1 species
AAGGAUCAUUAUCGAGUUAGGGUCCUCUGGGCCCAUCUCCAACCCUUGUCUAUUCUACCAUGUUGCUUCGGCGGGCCCGUCUUUAACCGGACCGCUGGGGAUUCACGUCCCCGGCUCGUGCCCGUCAGUAGGCCCCACAAAUUCUUCUCACAGUGACGUCUAAGUACAAUCAUAAUAACUAAAACUUUCAACAACGGAUCUCUUGGUUCUGGCAUCGAUGAAGAACGCAGCGAAAUGCGAUAAGUAAUGCGAAUUGCAGAAUUCCGUGAGUCAUCGAAUCUUUGAACGCACAUUGCGCCCUCUGGUAUUCCGGAGGGCAUGCCUGUUCGAGCGUCAUUAUCAACCCUCAAGCCCGGCUUGCUGUUGGGUCGCACCGUUAAACCAACGGUGGAUCCAAAAGAUAACGGCAGAGUCUGUGGGACCCUGGAUGCAGCGAGCUUUGUAGCACGCGUCGGGGGUUUCCAGGCUCGGUCUUAACCAAUCUAUUUCUUCUGGUUGACCUCGGAUCAGGUAGGGAUACCCGCUGAACUUAA